rnacentral:tRNA from 1 species
GGCCCUGUCGUCUAACCCGGUCAGGACACAGGCCUUUCACGCCUGGAAUACGGGUUCAAAUCCCGUCGGGGUCA